AUUAAAUAAUAUCAAACAAUUAAAUAACGUCAAACAAUUAAAUGACAAUAAUAAUGAUUAUAAUCGAAUAAAAACUCCUUCAUUCAACUACUAUAAUAAUACAAUAAAUUCACUGCUACAAAAAUAUAGCUUAAAAGAAAAAAUUAAUUACAUAAAUGAAGAAAUUGAUGUAAACGAUUUAUAUGCUAGUGUUAAUGAUUAUUUAGAUAGAAGGUCUAAAUUUAAUAAAGAAAUAUCAAUCGGUUCUUAUGUAUUCUUAAUUAAUGAAAAGGAAAUAAGUAACGAUGACGAUAGUGACGACAACAACAACUCAGACAAUGACGAUAACAACAACUCAGACAAUGACGACAACAACAAAGAGAAAAAAACAGAAAUUGAAAUUAAUGUAAAUUUGUUUUAUAAUUAUACUUCUAUUCAUUCUCAUGCAUACUAUACUAAUUUAAUAUUUAAUAUUUUAUUAGAUUUUCAAGAUUUGUUAAAUAAUCAAAAUUCGAAAUUAAAUAUAUACGAUUAUUAUAAGAACGAAGAAGAUGAUGGUAAUGUAGUCACAUAUGAUUUUGGACAAACAGGAAAAAUAGAAUUAACCAACAUGCGACCACAUAAUACAUACCCCAACGAAAUAAGCCAAGAAAACGAACUAAAUUGGGAUAGUAGAAAUAAAGGCACUAAAACUGACAAAAAAAUUGAUAUAAUAAACGAACCGUUCAAUAUAAAGUUUCAUGAAUAUUUCAUGAGAGACUUUUAUAUAAAUAUGUUUUUGUUUUUGUCUAUAGUAAUUUUUUUUUGUGUAUUUUUUGAAAAGUUAAAAAAUGAAAUGAAAUAUAGAAAAAUGUUUGAUCAUUUUAAUAUAAAUAAGUUUGUGCAUUAUUCCCAAAUAGUACUUUGUAAUUAUUUGUAUUAUUUUUUUUAUGUAGUAUUUUUUUUUAUUAUAUUAUAUACUUUUGAUUAUAAAGAAUUUUUACAUAUAUAUUUUUUCUUUUUCCUUAUAUUAUAUGGUUUUAAUAUGUUUUUAUCUAUUUGUUUAUUUUCUUCUUUUUACUUACAUAGUCAUAUUCUUUUUUAUUUAUUAAUUUUAUAUUUUGUGCCAUGAUAACAAUAAUUAUUUAUGUUUUGGUUAUAUUUGCCUAUGCUUAUAACAAUGAUUUUUUAUUAAGAGUGUCUCAUAUAUUUGUAUGUAUAUUUCGAAUAUUAGAUUCAUUCUGCUUAUCACAUGUUUUAAAUAUAAGGAGUUUAUGUUUAAAUAUGAAAAGACAUUUUAAACAUAUAGAUGAAGAUAAGGACGAUA
rnacentral:lncRNA from 1 species